AUUGAACGCUGGCGGCAUGCCUUACACAUGCAAGUCGAACGGCAGCACGGGUGCUUGCACCUGGUGGCGAGUGGCGAACGGGUGAGUAAUACAUCGGAACGUACCUUAUCGUGGGGGAUAACGCAGCGAAAGCUGUGCUAAUACCGCAUACGCCCUGAGGGGGAAAGCGGGGGAUCGCAAGACCUCGCGCGAUUAGAGCGGCCGAUGCCUGAUUAGCUUGUUGGUGGGGUAAAAGCCCACCAAGGCGACGAUCAGUAGCUGGUCUGAGAGGACGAUCGGCCACACUGGGACUGAGACACGGCCCAGACUCCUACGGGAGGCAGCAGUUGGGAAUUUUGGACAAUGGGGGCAACCCUGAUCCAGCAAUGCCGCGUGAGUGAAGAAGGCCUUCGGGUUGUAAAGCUCUUUUGUCAGGGAAGAAACACCGGCUCUAACACAGUCCGGGAAUGACGGUACCUGAAGAAUAAGCACCGGCUAACUGCGUGCCAGCAGCCGCCGUAA
rnacentral:rRNA from 1 species